rnacentral:rRNA from 1 species
UACGACGCUGGCGGCGUGCURACACAUGCGAGUCGAACGGACUUAGCGGAAAAGCUUGCUUUUCUGCGAAGGUUAGUGGCGAAAGGGUGAGUAACGCGUGGGCAACCUGCCUCACACAGUGGAAUAACAACGGGAAACCGUUGCUAAUACCGCAUGAUAUCAUUAAAUGGCAUCAUUUGAUGAUCAAAGGAGCAAUCCGGUGUGAGAUGGGCCCGCGUCCGAUUAGUUAGUUGGUGAGGUAAGAGCUCACCAAGACUGCGAUCGGUAGCCGGACUGAGAGGUCGAACGGCCAUAUUGGGACUGAGACACGGCCCAGACUCCUACGGGAGGCAGCAGUGGGGAAUAUUGCACAAUGGGCGCAAGCCUGAUGCAGCAACGCCGCGUGAAGGAAGAAGGUUUUCGGAUUGUAAACUUCUUUGAUCAGGGAAGAAAGAUGACAGUACCUGAAGAACAAGCCACGGCUAACUACGUGCCAGCAGCCGCGGUAAUACGUAGGUGGCGAGCGUUGUCCGGAAUUACUGGGUGUAAAGGGCGCUUAGGCGGGAAGAACCAAUUCAGAAUGUU